GACGAACGCUGGUGGCGUGCUUAACACAUGCAAGUCGAACGGAAAGGCCCUGCUUGCAGGGUACUCGAGUGGCGAACGGGUGAGUAACACGUGGGUGAUCUGCCCUGCACUUCGGGAUAAGCCUGGGAAACUGGGUCUAAUACCGGAUAGGAGCCAUUUUUAGUGUGAUGGUUGGAAAGUUUUUUCGGUGUAGGAUGAGCUCGCGGCCUAUCAGCUUGUUGGUGGGGUAAUGGCCUACCAAGGCGGCGACGGGUAGCCGGCCUGAGAGGGUGGACGGCCACAUUGGGACUGAGAUACGGCCCAGACUCCUACGGGAGGCAGCAGUGGGGAAUAUUGCACAAUGGGCGCAAGCCUGAUGCAGCGACGCCGCGUGGGGGAUGACGGCCUUCGGGUUGGAAACUCCUUUCGCUAGGGACGAAGCUUUUUGUGACGGUACCUAGAUAAGAAGCACCGGCUAACUACGUG
rnacentral:rRNA from 1 species